GAGAGGCUAGCGUGUUGUAGAGUAGCUUUUCGAGCUAGUUCGAGGUAAGUAAUGAUUGUAAAUACUGUCCUGAGGGUUUGAAACCUCGGAUUACACAGCCUGUGUUACUUUGAGGGGACUUACAUGCUAGAUGACGAGCGUGGGGUAGAGCACCACUGGGGAUUGCGACCUAGUCCAUCCCGAACGAUUAUUUUAAUGC
rnacentral:lncRNA from 1 species